rnacentral:rRNA from 1 species
GAUAAACGCUGGCGGCGUGCAUAACACAUGCAAGUCGAACGAUGAAGAUUAAAAGAUUUCUUCGGAAUGAACUUAAUUGGAUUAGUGGCGGACGGGUGAUUAACGCGUGAGUAACCUGCCUUGUACAAGGGGAUAGCCGUUGGAAACGACGAAUAAUACCCUAUGACAUCAAAUAAUCGCAUGAUAAUUUGAUCAAAGAUUUAUCGGUAUAAGAUGGACUCGCGUCUGAUUAGCUAGUUGGUAGAGUAAAAGCCUACCAAGGCAACGAUCAGUAGCCGGCUUGAGAGAGUGUACGGCCACAUUGGGACUGAGACACGGCCCAGACUCCUACGGGAGGCAGCAGUGGGGAAUUUUGCACAAUGGGGGAAACCCUGAUGCAGCGACGCCGCGUGAUUUAGAAGGCCUUCGGGUUGUAAAAAUCUUUUGUAUGGGAAGAAAAUGACAGUACCAUACGAAUAAGAACCGGCUAAUUACGUG